CGGACGGGUGAGUAAUGUAUAGUUAAUCUGCCCUUUAGAGGGGGAUAACAGUUGGAAACGACUGCUAAUACCCCAUACUCCUUCUAUGUUAAUCAUAGUUGGGAAACGCUUUUUCGCUAAAGGAUGAGACUAUAUGGUAUCAGGUAGUUGGUGGGGUAAGAGCCCACCAAGCCAAUGACGCCUAGCUGGUCUGAGAGGAUGAUCAGCCACACUGGAACUGAGACACGGUCCAG
rnacentral:rRNA from 1 species